UACGUAGGGGGCAAGCGUUGUCCGGAUUUAUUGGGCGUAAAGAGCGUGUAGGCGGCCAGACAGGUCCGUUGUGAAAACUCGAGGCUCAACCUCGAGACGCCGGUGGAAACCGUAAGGCUAGAGUCCGGAAGAGGAGAGUGGAAUUCCUGGUGUAGCGGUGAAAUGCGCAGAUAUCAGGAAGAACACCCGUGGCGAAGGCGGCUCUCUGGGACGGUACUGACGCUGAGACGCGAAAGCGUGGGGAGCGAACAGG
rnacentral:rRNA from 1 species